UACAGAGGGUGCGAGCGUUAAUCGGAAUUACUGGGCGUAAAGGGCGCGUAGGCGGCUAUAUAAGUUAGGUGUGAAAUCCCUGGGCUUAACCUAGGAAUGUCACUUGAUACUGUAUGGCUAGAGUAGAGUAGAGGGAAGUGGAAUUUCCGGUGUAGCGGUGAAAUGCGUAGAUAUCGGAAAGAACAUCAGUGGCGAAGGCGGCUUUCUGGACUUAUACUGACGCUGAGGCGCGAAAGCAUGGGUAGCAAACAGG
rnacentral:misc_RNA from 1 species